rnacentral:tRNA from 4 species
GGGGCCGUAGCUCAGUUGGGAGAGCGCAUGAAUGGCAUUCAUGAGGUCGAGGGUUCGAUUCCCUUCGGCUCCACCA